GGUUGAGGCUCAGCGGUAGAGCGCUUGCCUCGUACAUUCGAGGCCCUGGGUUUGAUCCUCAGUACCA
rnacentral:tRNA from 1 species